GACAGACACAGAGAAAGAUGGAUAGGGAUGAGGUGACGGUCUUUUGCACGUAGUGAUUUGGGGGAGUUUGAUCUCUGCAGAGGCACGAGCAGCUCUAGACAAGUCUGAACAGGGAGGAUUACUGCAGAUCAACAUAGAUAGAACACUUAUUUUGUCUCUUGCACCUGAGAAAAGUGUUGUCCCAUGUCAGCAAACUUACCAGGGAGUGGCCUUAUGCUGCGAUUGGGUCAAGCUGAAGAUUAAUCCUGCAUUUUUCGGCUCAACCAGCUCAUGACCUAGAAACCGGCAGAGUGAGAGCUCUGUCAACGAGCCCUCAAUCUCAGCGCCUCCAUAAACACCCUAAACCAGUCGAGGAGACCCACAGCUGUCUCAGCCCGUGCAUGCACCAGUGUGUGUGAGAGCCGAUGUGAGCGCAUUCUUACAGGUCAGAGGUCACCGUCACACUUUUCUACACUUGUCCCCCUCGAGUCUAUGGCCCGCAAGCAGUCCUGACAUUCCAAGUGAAUUCCUCCUCAAUUUGAUGUGUUUCUCUCUGUGUGUGUGUGUGUGUGUGUGUGUGUUAACUUUACGUUACUACUGAAAUCUCCCUUUUGGUUUCCCUGCUUAAUCUCUCUGUCAGCUGUGGUUUGAUUACAGGACGGGGCGAGGUAAGUGUUUGCACCCACUGCUCAUUCUUUAAAUGUCCUUUAAAUACAUUAAGUGACAGACAGGCACAGGCCUUUCACCACUGCUUCGUCUUCUUCGUCUUCUUCGUCUUCUUCUUCUUCUUCUUCUAUAAAGUUUAUUGGCAUAUGGCAACCAUCGUCUAGGUAAUGUACUUCCCUUUUCCCUUGUCGUGAAUACAAGACUGAUAUAGUGGGAGUUUAGGGAUACAAGCCAUUUUCUUGCCUCUGAUGCCUACUCAUAACGGUUGCAGCUGUGUUCACAGAGACAAGAUACAGACAAUUGUAAUACGUUUAAUGUUACUUUGUGUAUCACAGUUAGAGUUGUGCCUUUUCGUUCUAACAAGGAUCACCGUGGGUGAUUGUGGGUGAAAUCCUCAUCCGCGUUGGCCGGGCUGAGGCGAUACCCUCACUCUGCUGCCCUCCAGUGGUAAGCAGCUGCAAUGACAUGUUGAAGUGAUAGUUUUAACUCACAGAACAAGAACAUGGAGGUAGAGCAAAAAAAGUAAUUUGUCCCAGAGAUGACAGAUCCAUCCAAAAUCAGUUCCAGCAAUCCUUAGCAACAGUUUUAAUAGAUACUUUUUGGGGUGCAGGCAUUGAAUCAGACAAUUGCUGGUUUUCACAUCUUACAUUUAAUAUAUUAUAUGUAUGGUAACAAUUUGUAACGUUUUAAGUGAAAUAUUAAACUCAACGUAUUAACACUCAAAAUGUGCUACUGAAAAUAUUAAUUCAUUUAUUAAACUUAUAAGCUUUUAAGUGGGCAUAUUUCUUAUCAACGAGACUCCUCCUGUGUGCAAACACACGCACACACACACACACACUGACAAAACACACACACACACACACACACACACGAUUCUCUUAAUAUGGCAGCGCCCUUGUCAGCAGCGGUGCCAAUUCAGGCAGGCACUGUUCCCAGGUCUGGACUGGGGAAGAGCAGGUGUAUACUGCUGUCAACAGAGGCUCAUACAUAAUCAGCUACUGAUCUGAGAUGGAUUACACCAUUCUGUCAUCAUAUUAAAGACACUCUGUCAGCAAACACUUUUAAGACCCUGUAAUCUCCCGCCAGAGAGACAAGUCUUCCCUCCCUUUCAAAGGGACUUCUCGGCGUGGCUCGCUGUUGUGUUGCUGAUCUGUAACAAGUUAGUCGAUCGGUGUUUCAUCACCUCAAGCAGAGCUCCACUGCACCCUGGCUCGUGUCGUCGCAAUUUCCAAAGCUGCAAACAAAGUCCCCCGGCUUCUGUUACACGUUAACGAUAGAGCACCUUAUUUUCAUUGCUGUAGAAGCCACACACUUUGAACAGAUGUGUACGUAUC